GGGUAUACUUUUAGCAUCACCAGCUCUCCCUGUGGUGUAUUGACUCUUUCCUUCCUCACAGCCCCACUGGCUCAUUGUAGUAUGUGCCAGUUCAUGCCCUAACAUGCAUUGCUCUCUUCUGCCAUCUCCUGCUCUUGAAUGUCCUGCUGCCCAUCUUGCUUCUGGUGGUGCAGUUCAAACGCUAGUUGCUUUACUGCAGCAACUAGUUCUUCCCUGUGUUGAAAGCUCCAUAAUGAGCGUCUUGUAACUUGCAUACUUACAACAGGUAGAGCAUGUUUUGAUCAGGAAGAAUCUGAAAAUGGUUAAUUAGUACUGCAUAAGUCUCCUAUCCAGCCCUUUCACUUGGAAGCUACUGUUGUAACAAGACGACAACUCAGAACAAGAAAGAAAAACAAAUGGACGGUGCCAAAGAGAGGAGGGAUUUUCAAUGCCUUAGCCAGAGAUAAGACUGACCUAAACAUCAGUUGGUGAAGGAUUGGACAAAGACAAAAGCUGGACCAUUUGACAGGCAGACGUGAAGAGCUUGGGAUAUACAGAACCAUGUAAGGAACGCGUUAACCUGGGUGCUGUAGCCGCAUCUCCCAGCAAGAAACGUUGCCAUGUGUUUUAAACAACUUCUCUAAAGCUAGUGGGAAAAUGUAGCUUCAACAAAAGGUGGUGGACUUCUCAGCUGUGGAGGUAACGGGGAGACCUUUUAGUUUUUUGGCAAUAUUAAGGCCAGGAGCGAUUUCUGAUGUAAACCCAUACAAGCGGGAUUUUACUGAAACCGGCUUUAUUCUCUCAAUAGUCAGAGCUUUGCCAGCAUCUGGAGAAUCUGUCUUUGAGUGCUUGGGGAGGGAAGGAAUUUUUCUUCUGCAAGUGAGAGGAAUGGAUAAGCUUGCAACAGCACCUGCGUUAUCCGUUUCUCUGUGAGAUGAAAAACAGCCCUGCUGCAGCUGAACUGAGCUGGUGCUCCCGGCCAGCUGAUGGAAAGCUCGGCUGCUCUCAGUGGGUUGCUGGUGUUUGCUGGGUACCUCCUCAGCUCUGCCUGUGCAUGGGGCACGUUCUGGUAUACAUCUGGACGUGGGGGUUCGAGCUUUUACCCGAUCUGCUUCUGCCAGUGCUGUGGAAUUUUCCCCACAUUAGGCUGAGGUAAGAGACGUGGCAACGGGUGUGUGCUGAGAACCUCUGGGGCUGAGAAGAAUUCUGCCCUGGGUGGAUGGGGAGGCCAAGCCCAGGGGUUCAGCCUGCCCACAGCCCGGCGAGUCCCCAUGUGGGCUGGUGGGGACGUGGGGAGGCCGUCGGGAUGCUGCCGCACCAGGCUGCGGGCUGCCGGCCGUCUCUUUGUAGGGCAGGGGCAGCGGGCCCGUGAGCUGCCACCUGUUGUUAAUCUACCCCCGGCUAAUCCAUUCUGCACUGUGUCAGCAGUUCAAAAGGGCACUGUUAGUAUUUUUUGCCAACUUCAAUUAACGUGAGAUUUUGGAGGCCCCUCUGAUCGCAUUUCAUCUGUCAUGAGUCAGGAACAAAACAGACAGAUUCCAGUUGAGAGGAGAGAAGAGAAGGAGUUUAUUGCAAACCAAAACAACAACAACAGUGCUUGUACCUCCGUGGCCACGGGGCCUCGGGAGCGGGGGGCCUUCCCAGCAAUUGCACCCCUUUAAAAAACUGGAAAAAGAAAAAGUAGUGCCCAGAAAUCCCAGCCCUCCCCUCCCCCCAAACAAACAAACGAACAAACAAAAGAAAGGAAGCUGCAAGUGCAAUAACUUACUUUGAAAAAAACAUGGAAAGGACCAAGCUGCAAGUCUGUUUGUUCUUUUGUUUUUUUUUAAUGUUCCACUGUAAUGAACUGCUAAUACAUGGCUGCAUAGGCAUUAACAUUGCAUGG